AGAGUUUGAUUCUGGCUCAGGAUGAACGCUGGCGGCGUGCUUAACACAUGCAAGUCGAACGGAGUAUAUUUAAAAGCUUGCCCUUUGUAUAUACUUAGUGGCGGACGGGUGAGUAACGCGUGGGCAACCUGCCUUAUACCGGGGGACAACAGCUGGAAACGGCUGCUAAUACCGCAUAAGCGCACGAAGAGGCAUCUCUUAGUGUGAAAAACUCCGGUGGUAUAAGAUGGACCCGCGUCUGAUUAGCCAGUUGGCGGUGUAACGGACCACCAAAGCGACGAUCAGUAGCCGGCCUGAGAGGGCAAACGGCCACAUUGGGACUGAGACACGGCCCAAACUCCUACGGGAGGCAGCAGUGGGGAAUAUUGCACAAUGGGGGAAACCCUGAUGCCAGCGACGCCGCGUGAGUGAAGAAGUAUUUCGGUAUGUAAAGCUCUAUCAGCAGGAAAGAAAAUGACGGUACCUGACUAAGAAGCCCCGGCUAACUACGUGCCAGCCGCAGC
rnacentral:rRNA from 1 species